rnacentral:rRNA from 1 species
AUUGAACACUGGCGGCAGGCCUAACACAUGCAAGUCGAGCGGAUCGGCGGACGGGUGAGUAAUGCCAAGGAAUCUGCCUGUUAGUGAUGGAUAACGUUCGGAAACGGGCGCUAAUACUGCAACCUAUCAGAAGAGCCUAGGUCGGAUUAGCUAGUUGGUGGGGUAAAGGCAUACCAAGGCGACGAUCCGUAACUGGUCUGAGAGGAUGAGCAGUCACACUGGAACUGAGACACGGUCCAGACUCCUACGGGAGGCAGCAGUGGGGAAUAUUGGACAAUGGGCGAAAGCCUGAUGCAGCCAUGCCGCGUGUGUGAAGAAGGUCUUCGGAUUGUAAAGCACUUUAAGUUGGGAGGCGUUACCAACAGAAUAAGCACCGGCUAACUCCGUGCCAGCAGCCGCGGUAAUAC